UACGUAGGGGGCGAGCGUUGUCCGGAGUUACUGGGCGUAAAGGGCACGCAGGCGGUGCGGCGCGUUUCGCGUGACAGCGGAGGGCUUAACUCUCCGAGGAUGCGAAAGACGGCGGCACUUGAGGGCCAGAGAGGGACACGGAAUUCCGGGUGGAGUGGUGAAAUGCGUAGAGAUCCGGAGGAACACCGAAGGCGAAGGCAGUGUCCUGGCUGGUGACUGACGCUGAGGUGCGAAAGCCAGGGGAGCGAACGGG
rnacentral:rRNA from 1 species